CUUGAUCGAGCCGAGCAGCAGCGGAGCUGCCUCACCCCGGUCCUGCCCGUACGUGGCGAGCAGCGCCUGCGCCUC
rnacentral:antisense_RNA from 1 species